UACGGAGGGGGCUAGCGUUGUUCGGAAUUACUGGGCGUAAAGCGCGCGUAGGCGGAUCUGCAAGUCGGGGGUGAAAUCCCGAGGCUCAACCUCGGAACUGCCUUCGAUACUGCGGGUCUCGAGUCCGGGAGAGGUGAGUGGAAUUCCUAGUGUAGAGGUGAAAUUCGUAGAUAUUAGGAAGAACACCAGUGGCGAAGGCGGCUCACUGGCCGGUACUGACGCUGAGGCGCGAAAGCGUGGGGAGCAAACAGG
rnacentral:rRNA from 1 species